UACGGGGGGGGCAAGCGUUGUUCGGAAUUACUGGGCGUAAAGGGCGCGUAGGCGGUUGGAUAAGUCAGCUGUGAAAACCACGGGCUUAACUCGUGGCCUGCAGUUGAGACUGUCUGGCUUGAGUGUGGGAGAGGAGAGUGGAAUUCCUGGUGUAGCGGUGAAAUGCGUAGAUAUCAGGAGGAACACCGGUGGCGCAGGCGGCUCUCUGGACCACAACUGACGCUGAGGAGCGAAAGCCAGGGGAGCAAACGGG
rnacentral:rRNA from 1 species